UACGGGUCUGAAAACAAUUAGCAGCGAAGUCUUGCCAGCUGGAAGUUAAAGAACGUUGCCAGUUUGUGACCCGGAGGGGGUCAAAGCAAAGUACACAAAUAGUGGCAACAGUGAGAGAAACAGAGGUCCUCUGACUGGGUCUGUGUCUACAAUACAUGUGUGAAAGACAGAACGAGAGAAACAGAGGUCCUCUGACUGGGUCUGUGUCUACAAUACAUGUGUGAAAGACAGAACGAGAGAAACAGAGGUCCUCUGACUGGGUCUGUGUCUACAAUACAUGUGUGAAAGACAGAACGAGAGAAACAGAGGUCCUCUGACUGGGUCUGUGUCUACAAUACAUGUGUGAAAGACAGAACGAGAGAAACAGAGGUCCUCUGACUGGGUCUGUGUCUACAAUACAUGUGUGAAAGACAGAACGAGAGAAACAGAGGUCCUCUGACUGGGUCUGUGUCUACAAUACAUGUGUGAAAGACAGAACGAGAGAAACAGAGGUCCUCUGGCUGGGUCUGUGUCUACAAUACAUGUGUGAAAGACAGAACGAGAGAAACAGAGGUCCUCUGACUGGGUCUGUGUCUACAAUACAUGUGUGAAAGACAGAACGAGAGAAACAGAGGUCCUCUGACUGGGUCUGUGUCUACAAUACAUGUGUGAAAGACAGAACGAGAGAAACAGAGGUCCUCUGACUGGGUCUGUGUCUACAAUACAUGUGUGAAAGACAGAACGAGAGAAACAGAGGUCCUCUGACUGGGUCUGUGUCUACAAUACAUGUGUGAAAGACAGAACGAGAGAAACAGAGGUCCUCUGACUGGGUCUGUGUCUACAAUACAUGUGUGAAAGACAGAACGAGAGAAACAGAGGUCCUCUGACUGGGUCUGUGUCUACAAUACAUGUGUGAAAGACAGAACGAGAGAAACAGAGGUCCUCUGACUGGGUCUGUGUCUACAAUACAUGUGUGAAAGACAGAACGAGAGAAACAGAGGUCCUCUGACUGGGUCUGUGUCUACAAUACAUGUGUGAAAGACAGAACGAGAGAAACAGAGGUCCUCUGACUGGGUCUGUGUCUACAAUACAUGUGUGAAAGACAGAACGAGAGAAACAGAGGUCCUCUGACUGGGUCUGUGUCUACAAUACAUGUGUGAAAGACAGAAAGAGAGAAACAGAGGUCCGCUGACUGGGUGUGUGUCUACAAUACAUGUGUGAAAGACAGAAAGAGAGGACAGCGAGGGAGAGAGAGAAUGU